rnacentral:misc_RNA from 1 species
CUACACGUUUUAUAAUACAAUAUAAUAUAUAUACAGUAAAAAAUUUAGCGAAAUGAUACUUCAGUAAUACCCAGUAGCAUAAAUAUUAGAAACUCAAUAAUAUUUGAAGACUUACCCGAAAAUGGAACAUUUUUCUUCAGUUUAAGAAUAGCAAUAUCAUCAUUGUGUGUACCGUUAGUAUAAUCAGGAUGUUCUAGUAUAUAUUCGAUUUCUAUUUGAACAGGAUGCGCUCCAUCAUCAUCUCGUCCUAGAUCUAAGUCCCCGAUACGAACCACGUACAAUCCAAAAAUUUCUACGCAAUGUCCUGCGGUCAAAACAUGCCUAGCCGAUAUCAGGGAACCUCCGCAGGCCCAAUAAGGUUCCCCAUCUGGGCCAUCGAUAUCAACAUAGGGCUCCCGAAGUUAAUUGCUUUCUCACUAGUGGUCACAUUAACUGUUUGUUUCAAUAAAUAUAACUUCUAACACAAGUUUUCCUAUUCCAG